GACGAACGCUGGCGGCGUGCCUAAUACAUGCAAGUAGAACGCUGAAGAGAGGAGCUUGCUCUUCUUGGAUGAGUUGCGAACGGGUGAGUAACGCGUAGGUAACCUGCCUUGUAGCGGGGGAUAACUAUUGGAAACGAUAGCUAAUACCGCAUAACAAUGGAUGACACAUGUCAUUUAUUUGAAAGGGGCAAUUGCUCCACUACAAGAUGGACCUGCGUUGUAUUAGCUAGUAGGUGAGGUAAUGGCUCACCUAGGCGACGAUACAUAGCCGACCUGAGAGGGUGAUCGGCCACACUGGGACUGAGAAACGGCCCAGACUCCUACGGGAGGCAGCAGUAGGGAAUCUUCGGCAAUGGGGGCAACCCUGACCGAGCAACGCCGCGUGAGUGAAGAAGGGUUUCGGAUCGUAAAGCUCUGUUGUAAGUCAAGAACGGGUGUGAGAGUGGAAAGUUCACACUGUGACGGUAGCUUACCAGAAAGGGACGGCUAACUACGUG
rnacentral:rRNA from 1 species